UAUCUGCGUUAGCAAAGCCGAAAGUCAUAACGAAGGAAGCGAAACUUUGGACCAGAUUCCUAUUUGUUCUGUAAGAAAGCUUUGAAGCUUUAUUAUUGCAAUAAAAUUGAAGGAUUCAAGAGACAAGUAUUCCAGUUUGGUUAAAUUCAUCAAAUGUCUUGGCGGAAAUUCUGAAGGCGAUGCCGUGCAGAGAGCUUGGGAGAAGUUGACGACGAUUGAUUAAAGGGCUUAAUGCAAUUUCAAUGGUGUAAGGCGUGGCAAAAAUCAGAAACAUCCUCUGAAAUGUCUGGGUCUGUGAUUACUGCUGCGCUUUUUGCCGGAAUCAGAGCAAAUAGCCAAUUUGCAAGCUGUACCGACGCAGCUUUAGAGCACGAAACCAUUCGUUCUUUUGUAAGGGCUCCUGAGGCGGUUCGACGACGUGGUUUGGCUGCAGCUACUGCCGUAGAAGUGGAAGAUGCAGACAGACGUCCUCAACGAUAGAUUUUCUUUCUGCUAUCGCAUUCCCGAAAUGUUUCGUGUUCUUACUUGUGGUUGAGCGGUACUGUUUUUCCUUUCCUUUUCUCCCUUCUUUAAAUAAUUCAUUCUGUUUCAUAAGAA